rnacentral:rRNA from 1 species
AGAUUGAACGCUGGCGGAAUGCUUUACACAUGCAAGUCGAACGGCAGCACGGGGGCAACCCUGGUGGCGAGUGGCGCACGGGUGAGUAAUACAUCGGAACGUAUCCUAGAGUGGGGGAUAGCCCGGCGAAAGCCGGAUUAAUACCGCAUACGCUCGAAAGAGGAAAGUGGGGGAUCGUAAGACCUCACGCCCAAGGAGCGGCCGAUGCCGGAUUAGCUUGUUGGUGAGGUAAAAGCUCACCAAGGCGACGAUCCGUAGCUGGUCUGAGAGGACGACCAGCCACACUGGGACUGAGACACGGCCCAGACUCCUACGGGAGGCAGCAGUGGGGAAUUUUGGACAAUGGGGGAAACCUGAUCCAGCCAUUCCGCGUGAGUGAACGAAGGCCUUGGUUC